CUCUUAUCAAGAGCGGCGGAGGGAUUAGGCCCUAUGAUGCCCGGCAACCGGCGAAAGCAAAGGUGCUACUUCCUACAAACUCCCAGCAGUUUGGAAGAUAAGGA
rnacentral:ncRNA from 2 species